AUGGAAGAGAUUGAAUCAAACAUUAGAAAUUUUAUGACUUUACAAUUUGAGCAUAAUAAUUUCUUCAGAAAAGAGCUUAAAGAACAAAAAGGUUUUUGGGGGUUUAUGAACAAGGAGCUUGAUGAUAUGUAUAAAGAAUUUUAUGGUUUGAACUCUCAAAUUACCCGGCUCGAAAAUUCUAUAACCCAAAUUUCUGAUAAGCAAGCUACCUUAGUCAAUAAGAUGGCUGCCAAACCAGAAAAGUUAGGUGAAAAUAAUGAUGAAGUUCUUAAUGUUAUUGAUGUGUCCCCAUUAGAUCUUUGUUUUGCAAUAUGA
rnacentral:rRNA from 1 species